UAUUCUCUCAUGGCACUUUGUAUUUCUGUGGGAUCAAUGGUGAUAUCCCCUUUAUAACUUUUUUACUGCAUCUAUUUGAUUCUUCUCUCUUUUCUUCUUUGUUAGUCUGGCUAGUGAUCUACCUUGUUAAUCUUUCCAAAAAUCUAGCUUCUGAAUUCAUUGAUUUUUUUGAAGGUUUUUGUUUUGUUUUGUUUUGUUUUUGGUGUCUGUAUCUCCUUCAGUUAUGCUCCGAUCUUAGAUAUGUUGUGUUUCCUCCGGUGCCUCUGUUUUGUUCCAUUGGUCUAUAUCUCUGUUUUGGUACCAGUACCAUGCUGUUUUGAUUACUGUAGCCUUGUAGUAUAGUUUGAAAUCCGGUAGUGUGAUGCCCCCUGCUGUGUUCUUUUUGCUUAGAAUUGACUUGGCUAUGCGGGCUCUCUUUUGGUUCCAUAUGAAGUUCAUGGUGGUUUUUUCUAGUUUUGUGAAGAAAGUCAAUGGUAGCUUGAUGGGGAUAGCGUUGAUUCUGUAAAUUACUUUGGGCAGUAUAGCCAUUUUCACGAUAUUAAUUCUUCCUAACCAGGAACAUGGAAUGUUUCUCCAUCUGUUUGUGUCCUCUCUGAUUUCGUUGAGCAGUGGCUUGUAGUUCUCCUUGAAGAGGUCUCUUACGUUCCUUGUGAGUUGUAUUCCAAGGUAUUUUAUUCUUUUUGUAGCAAUUGUGAAUGGCAGUUCGUUCUUGAUUUGGCUCUCUUUAAGUCUGUUAUUGGUUUAGACGAAUGCUUGUGAUUUUUGUACAUUGAUUUUGUAUCCUGAGACUUUGCUGAAGUUGCUUAUCAGUUUCAGGAGUUUUGGGGCUGAGGCGAUGGGGUCUUCUAGGUAUACUAUCAUGUCGUCUGCAAAUAGAGACAAUUUGGCUUCCACCUUUCCUAUUUGAAUACCCUUUAUUUCUUUUUCUUGCCUGAUUGCUCUGGCUAGAAAUUCCAGUACUAUAUUGAAUAGGAGUGGUGAGAGAGGGCAUCCUUGUCUAGUGCCGGAUUUCAAAGGGAAUGCUUCCAGUUUUUGCCCAUUCAGUAUGAUAUUGGCUGUUGGUUUGUCAUAAAUAGCUUUUAUUACUUUGAGAUACAUUCCAUCGAUACCAAGUUUGUUGAGGGUUUUUAGCAUAAAGGGCUGUUGUAUUUUGUCAAAUGCCUUCUCUGCGUCAAUUGAGAUAAUCAUGUGGUUUUUGUUUUUGGUUCUGUUUAUGUGGUGAAUUACGUUUAUAGACUUGCUUAUGUUGAACCAGCCUUGCAUCCCUGGGAUGAAUCCUACUUGAUCGUGAUGAAUAAGUUUUUUGAUUUGCUGUUGCAAUCGGCUUGCCAAUAUUUUAUUGAAGAUUUUUGCAUCUAUGUUCAUCAUGGAUAUUGGCUGGUAGUUUUCUUUUCUUAUUGGGACUCUGCCGUGUUUUGGUAUCAGGAUGAUAUUGGUCUCGUAGAAUGAUUUGGGUAGGAUUCCUUCUUUUUGGAUUAUUUGGAAUAGUUUCAGAAGAAAUGGUACCAGCUCCUCUUUCUGUGUCUGGUAGAAUUAGGCUGUGAACCCGUCUGGACCUGGGCUUUUUUUGUGUGGUAGGCUCUUAAUUGCUGCCUCGACUUCUGACCUUGUUAUUGGUCUCUUCAUAGUUUCGGCUUCCUCCUGGUUUAGGCUUGGAAGGAAAUAGGAGUCCAGGAAUUUAUCCAUUUCUUCCAGGUUUACUAGUUGAUGUGCAUAGAGUUGUUUGUAAUAUUCUCUGAUGAUGGUUUGAAUUUCAGUGGAGUCUGUGGUGAUUUCC
ensembl:lncRNA